AUAUCAAGGUAUAAAAACAUUUUUUUNAAAACUUUUUAAAACAUUAUUAAAUUUAGUAAAGGAGAUUAAAACUUAUUUUAUAAUACCUUAGAAAAAGUACUGUAAAGGAAUAAAAUAAAUUAUAUAAAAGAAAAAAUAAAAGCUUGUACCUUUUGUAUCAUGGUUUAACUAGAUAUUUAUUUUAUAUUUAAAUUUCUCGAAAUCUAAUGAGCUAUCUUUAUUCAGUAUUUUAGAAUAUAAAGGAUUAAUUGUAGCAAAAAUUUUCCUAGAAAUAAAGAUAGAAAUGAAAUUUUAUCCGUAUUAGAUGAUAGCUAGUUCUCCUAAAAGGCAUAUAAGUGCUUUAGAUUAAUUUUUAUUUCUGCAAUAAAACAGCAAAACAAAUUUUAAUUUAAUUAAAUUUUUGAGGAUAAGCUCGAAAAUUAGUAGUACAUCUGCAUAUUAUUUUAGUUAAAAUUUAAGCUUGAAAAUAGCUAUAAUUUUGAUUUUGUUACAAUUUCAUUAAAUGUAUAAAAAAAUAAUUUAUUUGCUAUUAGGCAAAAGGAGAAAACUUAAAAACUAAAAUAAGUUAAACUUAUGUUAAAAUGAGUAUUAAUUAAAUUAUAAAACUCUGACAUUUUAUAUCUCAAAGUAUUAUUUUUUACACCAAUUUUAAAUCACAAAAAGGAACUCGGCAAAUAAUCAUUCUGCCUGUUUAGCAAAAACAUGGCUCCUUGUCAAAAAUAAAUAAGGAGUCGGACCUGCCCAGUGAAUUUUUUUAACGGCCGCGGUACUCUGACCGUGCAAAGGUAGCAUAAUCAUUUGCCUUAUAAUUGAAGGCUAGUAUGAAUGGUUUGACAAGAAUGUAGCUGUCUCUUUGUGAUUUACUAGAAUUUUAUUUUCAGGUGAAGAAGCCUGUAUAAAAUUAAAAGACAAGAAGACCCUAUCGAGCUUGAAAAAAAUUAAUAGAUAAUAAAUUAAUAGCUUUAAAAAAUUUACUAUUAAAUAUUUUAGUUGGGGCGACUGAGGAACAAAAAAAGCUUCCUUUAAAACUUUUUUAUACCAAAUAAGUAUUGAUCCAAAAUAUUUUGAUUAAAAAAAUUAGUUACCGUAGGGAUAACAGCAUUAUCUUUUUUAAGAGUUCUUAUCGAAAAAGAGGUUUGUGACCUCGAUGUUGGACCAGAAUAUCCUAAAGAUGCAGCAGUCUUUAAGGGUUGGUCUGUUCGACCAUUAAAAUUCUACGUGAUCUGAGUUCAGACCGGCGUGAGCCAGGUCAGUUUCUAUCUUUAAUUUUUGAAAUAAACUUAGUACGAAAGGACCAGUUUAU
rnacentral:rRNA from 1 species